rnacentral:lncRNA from 1 species
GGGGUGGGGUGGGGGUGCUGGGCUAGAAUGAGUCUCCCUGCCACGACCCCCCCUGGCAAACAACCUCUGUGGCUUUGCAAGGGGGCCCUUGCUCCUUCUCCCUCUGUCUUUGUAGGUGAUUCUUGCCACUAUAAACCAGCCCGUUUCCCUGAUUUCUGUCUCCUGGCCGCUGUCACUGUCAUUCUGAGGACCUAACCUGCAGGGAUGUACUUGGGCUCUGUCUCGUGCCACCGGGAAGGCUUCACCUGCACCUGGGGCCAGGCUGCGCGGCCACCAUCUCGGCCCGAAGGAAAGGCCCCGGGGGUUGGGGGCAGGCUGCCCGCUGUUCUCACCAACCUCCUCUGUCCACAUCAGUAUCACCUCCCGGGUCGGUACCAAGGUUAAGCAGAGUGCCGCCCAUGUGGGAAGGAGGAGCCGGGCUGGGCUCCGGUUCUGGGCCUCCUGGGAGGUCCAGCCUUGGGUCCCAGCAACGCCAGCCCCCGAUUCUGCUGGACCUGCGGGAAUUCCUGGGAAUCCCCAGGAAUAUUUGCAAACCACAUCAGCGUGGACCUUCUGUAGACCUCAGAGCAGUCUCCCCCUCCCCACGAGGGCCGCGUCUUUGUGCUGUCAGGUCGCCUGCCAUGAAGACAAGUGUUCACCAGGACACAAAGCCACGUCCUGCUGUCCCGACCGCUGUUCCAGAAGCGCCUCAGCCUUGUGCGGCCAAGCCCCAGUGCUGUGUACUUCACUCUGCAAGGAGAAUUCAGGCCUUCACCUCCGAAGACUCCAGAAGGAAGACAAAUGAAACAGCAGUGGAAUCUGUUCUCCGAGCUGAUGUGGCCCAGGCUCUGAGCAAAAUGCGAGGUGGAAGCAGGUGGGGAGACCCAGUCUCUGCCUGCAAGGACCCCGAGGUCACAACCACUGACGGGACAGUAUGA